rnacentral:rRNA from 1 species
AUGAUGGUGAUGAGGAGAACAUUGCUCAGAAAGACAGCGAGCACCAUAGAAGAUCCAGAGGAAGAGAGACCUCAGAUUGAAGAUGUACUCGAAGCCAAGGCACAAGAUGAUCCAGAGUUCGAACAACCAAGUAAUCAAGUUGAAGACUCAUCAUCUACUACUCUUGAAGAAGCAAAAGAAGCUGCUGUAGAUGAACUUGAAGAACCAGAAAUUCAUUUGCCUAUUGUCACACAAGAGCGUGAUGUAGCAGGUUUAUCUAAUCCUCUUAAUGACAUGUCUUCAUAUGAUUUGUUUGCUACUACCUUGCAUUGCAUGAUGCCAUCACUUAAGGUAGAUUUGAACAACUAUUUGCUUGGACAUGAUCAUACAUACCCUGUUAGUGGCAUUGCUCAUAUCUCUGUUCAUGAUACUUAUGUUCCUAAUGCUAUACCCAUGCUUAAUGAAACGUGUGAUUCUAAUACUAGCAUUGAGCUUACUGAUUUGUACCAUCCUAAACAUGUGCUUUAUAGCUAUGCUUAUGUAAUUGGAUAUUUGAUUGAUGACUUGGAGGGUAUUAUCCCUACCACUUGCAUUGUCUCUUUUGUUGAGAGUGCUUUCAGGUUUUUGCUUGUGCACGAUCCAUUACAUGCUGACCAGGUUCGAGGUGACAUUCCUUGGGACCCUGGUGGACUCAGAGCAUGGGUAUGA